AGUGAACGCUGGCGGUAGGCCUAACACAUGCAAGUCGAACGGCAGCACAGUAAGAGCUUGCUCUUACGGGUGGCGAGUGGCGGACGGGUGAGGAAUACAUCGGAAUCUACUUUUUCGGGGGGGAUAACGUAGGGAAACUUACGCUAAUACCGCAUACGACCUACGGGUGAAAGCAGGGGCUCUUCGGACCUUGCGCGAUUGAAUGAGCCGAUGUCGGAUUAGCUAGUUGGCGGGGUAAAGGCCCACAAAGGCGACGAUCCGUAGCUGGUCUGAAAGGAUGAUCAGCCACACUGGAACUGAGACACGGUCCAGACUCCUACGGGAGGCAGCAGUGGGGAAUAUUGGACAAUGGGGGCAAGCCUGAUCCAGCCAUACCGCGUGGGUGAAGAAGGCCUUCGGGUUGUAAAGCCCUUUUGUUGGGAAAGAAAAGCAGCAGGUUAAUACCCCGCUGUUCUGACGGUACCCAAAGAAUAAGCACCGGCUAACUUCGUG
rnacentral:rRNA from 1 species